UACGUAGGUGGCAAGCGUUGUCCGGAAUUACUGGGCGUAAAGGGAGCGUAGGCGGUCUUUUAAGUGGGAUGUGAAAUACCCGGGCUCAACUUGGGAAUUGCAUUCCAAACUGGGAGACUAGAGUGCAGGAGAGGAAAGUGGAAUUCCAAGUGUAGCGGUGAAAUGCGUAGAGAUUUGGAGGAACACCAGUGGCGAAGGCGACUUUCUGGACUGUAACUGACGCUGAGGCUCGAGAGCGUGGGGAGCAAACAGG
rnacentral:rRNA from 1 species